rnacentral:misc_RNA from 1 species
GAUGAAUAACGCAGCGAAAUGCGAUACGUAAUGUGAAUUGCAGAAUUCAGUGAAUCAUCGAAUCUUUGAACGCACAUUGCGCCUGCCAGCACUCUGGCAGGCAUGCCUGUUCGAGCGUCAUUUCAACCAUCAAGCCCUAGGCUUGCGUUGGAGCCCUGCGGCUGCCGCAGGCCCCUAAAAGCAGUGGCGGGCUCGCUAUCACACCGAGUGCAGUAGAUUACUCUUCGCUCAGGGCGUGUGGCGGGUUCCAGCCGUGAAACCCCCUACUUCUCAAGGUUGACCUCGGAUCAGGUAGGAAUACCCGCUGAACUUAAGCAUAUCAAUAAGCGGAGGA